AGAGUUUGAUCAUGGCUCAGGAUGAACGCUGGCGGCGUGCCUAAUACAUGCAAGUCGAGCGAACGGACGAGAAGCUUGCUUCUCUGAUGUUAGCGGCGGACGGGUGAGUAACACGUGGAUAACCUACCUAUAAGACUGGGAUAACUUCGGGAAACCGGAGCUAAUACCAGAUAAUAUUUUGAACCGCAUGGUUCAAAAGUGAAAGACGGUCUUGCUGUCACUUAUAGAUGGAUCCGCGCUGCAUUAGCUAGUUGGUAAGGUAACGGCUUACCAAGGCAACGAUGCAUAGCCGACCUGAGAGGGUGAUCGGCCACACUGGAACUGAGACACGGUCCAGACUCCCACGGGAGGCAGCAGUAGGGAAUCUUCCGCAAUGGGCGAAAGCCUGACGGAGCAACGCCGCGUGAGUGAUGAAAGUCUUCGGAUCGUAAAACUCUGUUAUUAGGGAAGAACAUAUGUGUAAGUAACUGUGCACAUCUUGACGGUACCUAAUCAGAAAGCCACGGCUAACUACGUGCCAGCAGCCGCGGUAAUACGUAGGUGGCAAGCGUUAUCCGGAAUUAUUGGGCGUAAAGCGCGCGUAGGCGGUUUUUUAAGUCUGAUGUGAAAGCCCACGGCUCAACCGUGGAGGGUCAUUGGAAACUGGAAAACUUGAGUGCGGAAGAGGAAAGUGGAAUUCCAUGUGUAGCGGUGAAAUGCGCAGAGAUAUGGAGGAACACCAGUGGCGAAGGCGACUUUCUGGUCUGUAACUGACGCUGAUGUGCGAAAGCGUGGGGAUCAAACAGGAUUAGAUACCCUGGUAGUCC
rnacentral:rRNA from 1 species